rnacentral:rRNA from 1 species
GACGAACGCUGGCGGCGUGCUUAACACAUGCAAGUCGAGCGGUAAGGCCCUUUCGGGAGUACACGAGCGGCGAACGGGUGAGUAACACGUGGGUGACCUGCCCUCAGCUCUGGGAUAAGCCUGGGAAACCGGGUCUAAUACCGGAUAUGACUCCAUGACGCAUGUUGUGGGGUGGAAAGCCUUGUGCGGCUGAGGAUGGGCCCGCGGCCUAUCAGCUUGUUGGUGGGGUGAUGGCCUACCAAGGCGACGACGGGUAGCCGGCCUGAGAGGGCGACCGGCCACACUGGGACUGAGACACGGCCCAGACUCCUACGGGAGGCAGCAGUGGGGAAUCUUGCGCAAUGGGCGAAAGCCUGACGCAGCGACGCCGCGUGAGGGAUGACGGCCUCGGU